UACGUAGGGGGCAAGCGUUGUCCGGAUUUAUUGGGCGUAAAGAGCGUGUAGGCGGCCAUGCAGGUCUGUUGUGAAAACUCGAGGCUCAACCUCGAGACGCCGGUGGAAACCGCAUGGCUAGAGUCCGGAAGAGGAGAGUGGAAUUCCUGGUGUAGCGGUGAAAUGCGCAGAUAUCAGGAAGAACACCCGUGGCGAAGGCGGCUCUCUGGGACGGUACUGACGCUGAGACGCGAAAGCGUGGGGAGCAAACAGG
rnacentral:rRNA from 1 species